rnacentral:misc_RNA from 1 species
ACGACGCCAGUCAAUGCCAGAGCGCGAAGCGGUCGCGUUGACAUCGGUAGCUGCUCUCCAAUAAUUCUCCAAUACCAUAUAUUAUUCCGAUCCGAUUCGAAUCGAUUCGAUUCGAUCAGUUCCGACCGACGGACAGACGGACGGACGGACGACCAGCUAAUAUAUCGAGCAUGCUAAUUGUCGCGCUGUGAUACGCGAUUCGGUUCCAAGUAGACGGUACACGGUAUACGAUAGGCGGUAGACGCCAGCGGGCAAACAUCCAUGCGAAAUCGCCGUGCCGCCUUGCUGACACCCACUUUGAUAAGCGGAUAAUUAAGGAGUAAUACACCGUUCCUGAUUUGACUUUCGUCUGGGGCGUUGCUUUUGCCGGUGUUAAUUAAGCCUUCACACACUUAAGUGUGCCACUCGAAAUGUACGCAUGAGCACUGUCUUAUCGCCAGCCGGAUUCGGCCAACGGAGUAGACAAAAGUAAAAGGUGAUCUCACAGAUAACACCGAUUCGUAUUCGCAUUCGGAAUCGUAUUCAGAUUCAGAUUCAGUAUCAGCAGCAAUAGCAGCAACAGCAGCAUUUUCCCAUCUGAAGUCACAGACGCAGUGCAUCGGCAGCAGCUAAAAAAGCAGCAGCAUAUUCAUAAGUAAUCUUUGGCCGCAGCCACAUCGGCGGAUCAACUCCACGCCACUGGCCACUGGACACUGGUCACUGUCCACGCUCCACUGUCCAUUGAAAGGAAGUCGGUCUUGUGACUUGGACGUGGUGCUGCAGAUAAUUGAAUUUAAUGCACAAAUGAGCCCAUGAGGAAUGUGCUUUCAUAAAUCCGUCUUGCACAAGUGACGAAUGCAAUUCCUUCGCUGCGCGCCACUUGCAUUGUCUGCCAUCAUCGGAGAACACUUCACUUCCGAGUCGCACACCACCACCACCACCGUCCUACUACCACGAUGAAGGCGACCAGGAACGGAGGGCAGCUGCUCAUCGCUCCUUCGCCGCAGAGCGCCGCCCGUCUGCUGCCCCUGCGCACGUACUCCAACGCCUCCUCGCUGGGCCACCACCACGACAGGAGCACUCUCUCCGACGGCGACGAGGAGGAGGGCGGCCUGGGCUACACCCACACACUGAUGUAUGGUCGCUAUACCAAAGAUCUAGGAGAAUUUGCCAAGGAUGAAGCCAGAAAGCUCAAAAUACUCGAAAAGCGACGAAAGCAGGAAGAUAAGCAAAGGAAUAAGUGCUGGGAAAUAUUUACAGGAACUGCUGGGCAAACACUCGACCCGGGCGAAGCGGGUGUCAUCAUGGAUCUGGAGGCACACGGUGGCCCGGCUGGGCGAGGAUUGGGUCUUCCUCGCGCUGCUGGGCAUCAUUAUGGCCCUGCUCUCGUUCAUCAUGGACAAGGGCAUAUCCAUAUGUACAAACGCGCGAAUUUGGCUGUAUCGCGACCUGACGUCACAGCCUUUUGUUCAGUACAUCGCAUGGGUCUCACUGCCGGUCUGUUUGAUAUUGUUCUCAGCCGGCUUUGUCCAUCUCAUCGCACCGCAAAGUAUAGGUUCUGGUAUACCCGAAAUGAAGACCAUACUGCGCGGCGUUCAAUUGAAAGAGUAUCUCACAUUUAAGACACUGGUGGCCAAGGUAAUUGGUUUAACGGCAACUCUGGGCAGCGGUAUGCCAUUAGGAAAGGAAGGUCCUUUCGUACAUAUAGCAAGUAUUGUAGCACAAUUAUUAAGUAAACUUGUCACAUCAUUCCAAGGCAUAUAUGAGAAUGAGUCGCGUAAC